GCCGCCGCCACGCCACAUCCCAGCGAGCCUGCACGCGUCCUCCUCUCCUCACCCGUGGCCGUGGGAAUACAUCAGCGGCCACAAACAGCGGUCGCCGCAUCUGACGAGGGAGAAGCUCCCUGAUGGGUGAUCGGAAUCGGAAGGGGGGACGGACGAUGGUUGUGCCGCGCGGGCGAUCGAUCGAGGUCAUGGUGGACGCAGCCGAGGAGAUCGAUGAGACGGCCGAUCCAUCGAGGUGGACGCAGCCGAGGAGAUGAGAUGCUCGAUCGGCCAUCUCAUCUCAUCCAUCCUUCUAAUUCCCUAGGUUCCGCUCCGCAUAUGGAUGAGGUGAGAUGGAUGAUGGCAUAUGCUGGUUCGGUGGGUUUCUAGUUGUAGAGUAUGUCUAAAGAAUGGUUGUAGAAUAUAUCCAGCCCAUCUAUAUAUAAUAGUUACGGUAACGAUUCUUAGUAAUUUAAGACAUAAAUACCCACUAUAUAUAGCAGUAUAUAUGUUUUACAUAAUAAUACGCCAAUUGUUAGUAAUUCAAAACAUAGUAACGAUCGAAGUGAAUGGACCGUCGCCAACCCAGAUCCUAUUAUAAGAUUGAAGGUGUGAUUCUGCUGAAAAUACUUACAGUGUGAUUCUGCUGAAAACAGGGGUGAAUUUUCCAUCCAUAUUUAAAAUCCUGUUCUCUUCAAUCUUGUUCUUUUCACCAUGCUUGAGCCAUCCAUUUAAGGUACCAUCAAAAGAGCUGGUGGAUAUUAUAAGACGAUAAUCUGGGUGCACCUUGUAGAUAUUCUGCAACACCACCACAUUUGGGUGCCUCCAGGUGCUCAUCAGUCGGAGCGAAGAAAGAACUUUGUCUUUAGCAUCAUACCACUUCAAGAGGCAAUCAGUGGUGAAACUCCCUACAGUGUAGGUUCCUCUGAAGAAGGCAGUAGGCACCUCAUGAAAAUCAGAAAGGAAGUCUUUUUUGUUCCCUAGCUUAAUGGCCUUGACAGAGCAGCUGCGGUUUGUGUUGUCAUAAGAAAAGGGACUGUCUAUUUGACAUUUGACUGUUUUUCAAUUCGACAACAUUCAUAUUUUCUGACAAAUGAACAGUUGACACCUGUCAGACAGCACAAAAUGGGACGCCAAAACGGGUCACGGAAAAGAUCUGACCCGGUUCGCUGGACAACUAGCCACUCCAAAAAAUUCAGGAACCAACUCCCUUGAUCUUCAGGACCACACAGUACGUGCCCAGCUUGCAACGCAUGAAAAGGGCCAAACCCCUCCCACAAACCACUCAACAGAUCUCACCUAACAACACAAAACAGCAAAUCAGAAGGGGGAAGAUGGAGGCGGCCAUGGGCGAGGGGGGAGGAGAAGAAGGGAGAUCAAGCAUAAAUCAGAAGGGUUUGGGAGAAGAGGAUGUACCUGACGAGGAACAAGGAAGAACAUCGGAGGGAAUUCAACAACUAUCCCAACUGCUCACCAUCUUCUCUCUUCACCUGUCACAAGAACAAAUCAGGAGGAAUUUUCUUCAUCUACAAGAGAUAGAUCAACAUCAGCUGUAUUUCUGGGCAAAUCCCAUAAUUUUUGUGAUCAAUUACAUUGACAUCAACAUGGAAAUUACACUGAAAUGCUGAAAUUGUUCAAUGGAAAAUACAGUUUAGUUUUCGGAAAACUUACAAGAAUAUUUACAAUGUAAAUUAACAUGGAAAUACAGCACUUCUGAAUUUCCAGUGUAAAUCCCAAUGUAAAUUCCAGUGUACAUCCUGACGUAAAAUCAAGUGUUACAGUAAA